AAAAUCGGGUCAGUCCUGCACAGUCAGGAUGCCUGGAGGCCCCACGGACCACCGAUCUCUUUCCCCCGAGUUACUACAUCUUCUGCAUUGUGAACUGAAUCAUGUUGUGAUUAAGUCCAGGUAGGCAAGGACUGUCUCCUGGUCCCUUUUCUUGCGCAGCACGGUGUCAGAUGUGGCGAUGUGGGAGAGCGGAAAGAGCACUGACCAAGUUUUCUCUGGAUAUAUGCCCAGGAGUGGGAUUGCUGGAUCAUAUGUGGUCUGGAACCGAAUCAGCAAUAUCUCCAAGAUAUGCCUGUAUUUUGAAGAUGUUACUCCACUAUCUUCUUGCCUGCACUGUUCCCCAAAGAAAUCUGCUGUCAUUCUUAGCUUUGUUCCUCCAUAGUUAUUGCGUCUUUUUUCUUUGGCUGCUUUUCUGAUUUCUUCUUUUUCACUGGCUUAUGAAAGUUGAUUAUGAAUUAACUCGGUAUGAUCUUUUUUGCUUUUCUUCUUUUGUUAUAAUUUUAUUUAUAACUAUAUCUGUGUUAUUUAGUUAUAAAGGAAUUUUUGAUGUUUUUGGUGCUCAGGGUUAGCUAAGCAUCUUGGAUCUGUUAUUUUAUACUCCACCAACUUUGGAAAAAUUUCACUCAUUAUUUCUUUAAAAUAGUCUUUCUGGUGUCCCCCUUCCUACUCUUCUUUAGGGACUCCAAAUAUACAAAUAUCAGAUUAUUUGAAGUUGUUCAAUAGUUAGCUGAUGAUUUUAUCAUCUUUUUAAUUUUUUUUUGUUUGUUUGUAUUUUAAUUUAGAUAGUUUUUAUUGCUAUGUUUUCAAAGUCAUUACCUUUUAUUCUGCAACAUCUAAUCUGUUAAUCACAUCCUGUAUGUUUUUAUCUAAUACUUUGUAGUCUUCAUUUUGAGAUUUUGAUUUGGGUCUAUUUAAGUUCUUGAACACCUAGAAUACACUUAUACAGUUGUAGUAACUGUUUCACAUCCUUGUUUGCUAAUCCUAAUAUUUGAUCCGUCCUGGGCUGGUCUUGAUUGGUUGAUUUUUCUCCGCAUAGAUAUUUCCAUUUCUUUGCGUGCUUGGUGAAUUUUAGUUUGUUUGGUGCUGAAUAUUUUUCUAUAUCUAAAAUAUUCAUAAGCUUUGUUUGGGAUGCAGUUAGAUCACUUGGAAAAUGUUUGAUCCUUUUGGAUCUUGCUUUUAAGAGUUUAGUCGGAACAGGACAGGAAUAGCCUCAGGCUGAUAACUAUUCCACAUUACUGACAAAAUAUGACUUCGAGUGCCUUACCCAACGACCCAUUAGUUAUGAUGCUUUCCUGUCUUGCUUUGGGGACAGGCACUUUUUCUGGCCCUGCAUGAGUGGUAGGCACUCCUCCCACUGAUCCUCUCAGACAGCUCUUUCCCUGAUCUGUGCCUAUCAGUGCUCUGCUGAAUUCUUGAGGGGACCCUCCACAGAUCUCAGGAGUUCUCCCUCCAUGUGAUUCUUCUCUGGUACUCUGUUCUGCAAACUCUAGGCAUCUUGUUCUCACACACUCUCAGCUCUGUUUAUUCAACAGAGCUCUGUUUACUAAGAAAGUCCACUGGUUACCAUCUGGACUCCUGUCCCUACACCAUGACCUGGAAAUUCUUCCCUGGCAGUGAGUUGGGGUCAUCAGAGGGUUCAUCUCUUCUGUCUCCCAUCCCUUAGGAUUACUGUUCUUCACUGCCUGAUGUCCAGUGCCUUGAAAAUGGCUGUUUGGUGUGUUUCAUUUGGUUUCUGUGAUUGUUUCAGGAAGGAGGGUAAAUCUGGUCUCUGUUACUCCAUCUUGAUCAGAAGCAGAAGUUACAAAUUAACUAGAUUUUAUUUCCUUCUAAGAAGCAUGUAUGCAUGUGGCUAUGCGUUUAGAUUACACACAUUUAUUAGAUAUUUGCUGUAAGUAAAAUUGAUCCUAGUUUCAUAUUGGACCUGAACAGAUGGAUAAUUCAUGGAUUUUGUUUGCUAUGUAAGUCACACCUGCCAGGUGCUGAUGAAGUCAGAGCAGCCUGCCCUAGUGCACUCACCUGCCUGUCACUGAGGUGCAUUCAGGGACCUCUUGUCCCAUCAAGGGAGUCUUGUCCCCUUCUCAGUGAAGUCCUUUGCUCCCAUCAAGUAUCCACUUAGCAAUUCGGUUGAGUUCACGCCUUCAAAUCCCAGUUUUUGUCUUCCUGAGAAUUUUAAGAACUAACUUCUCUUAAAAGGACCUUAUCACGUUUCCAGGGUUAAAAUCAAAACCUAAAGUAACACACUUCUAAAAAGACACUCACCAUGAUGAGGUUCUCAGGCAUGGAAACAGUUAGACAUUUCACAUAGCUGUUCAGAAAGGAAGUGGCGACAUUUCCACACGUGGUGUUCCCACGUCUCUGAUGCAUGGGUACUGAGGUCUUGAAAGCAAAAAUAAGAGCAGGGCAGUCCACACCGGCACAGAAACAGUCUGUUCUCUCUCGGAAUGGAGAGCCAAGGCGAAGCCAGGUCAUCUUAGAAAGCUGGAAAUUUGUGCCAACAAUUUUUUCCUGGCUGAUUUUUGACCUUUUUACUUCAGGGAGUAUUAACCUACAAAGGUGUUCAAAAUUUAAAUAGAUUUGUUUUCUUUUGCUUCUUCCAUUGCUUGUAUGCCUUGACUUCCGUUACCAAGAGGGUGUAAGCUUUUAACAUAUAUUAUUUUUAUGAGGGUAUCAUCUGUGUAUUAUUAUUUAACUUGUAUUUAAUUUAUUAGGAAUGUGAGAUAAGAAACCAAUAGCAUAUUUUCCAAAAUGUCAAGAAAUUUUGCCUGUACCAUUACUUUAAAUAAUAUUCAUCACCACUGUUGCGAUGACGCUUUUAUAAAAUGUACACUAUAUGUACUAAGUUCUGUUCACGGGUCAUUAGAGCUUUUCUGUUUCGUCUUCUUUUUAUACUUCCGUAAUCCUAGUCUAAUUCAUUAAAGGGUCUUCUCUGGAUGAGACCUACAUUAUUCCCACUCACUGACUCUUUUUUUUAGUAUUUUUUUUAUUGAGUUAUAGUCAUUUUACAAUGUUGUGUCAAAUUCCUCUCACUGACUCGGAUUCAUUCAAUCUAUCUUCCA